GGACUACUGGGGUUUCUAAUCCCGUUUGCUCCCCUAGCUUUCGCGCCUCAGCGUCAGUAUCGGGCCAGAUAGGCGCCUUCGCCACCGGUGUUCCUCCUGAUAUCUACGCAUUUCACCGCUACACCAGGAAUUCCCCUAUCCUCUCCCGUACUCAAGCCAAGCAGUUUGGGAUGCAGAUCCCCGGGUGAGCCGGGGGCUUUCACAUUCCACUUACUUGACCGCCUACACGCCCUUUACGCCCAGUGAUUCCGAACAACGCUUGCUCCCCCCGUGUUACCGCGGCGGCUGGCAC
rnacentral:rRNA from 1 species